rnacentral:lncRNA from 1 species
AAGAAAGUCACACAGGUUUGGAAUGACAUGAAGGUGAGUAGAUGAUGGCUGAAUUUUCAUUUUUGGAUGAACUACUAAUGUCUCUAGUCAUGGUUGGUUAAGCUUCAGUUUAGAUCUAAAUAUUUGCCUUAUUUUUUUCAGAAACAGUCAUGAAUGCUGAUAAUGUUGUGCGGCUGUUCAUACUGGUUUGGACUUUCACAGCUGUCUGUCAAGCUGAUGAAGAAGUCAUUGUAAGCUGUGAGAAUGUGACUGGAUCUGUGGGGAAAGAAGUAUCUCUCACCUGCAGCGUCUCUGUGCUGUUCACUAAUUGCUGCAUUGUGAGGUAUAAGUUUCAAUACCCUGAGAGCAUUAAUGACUCCGUAAUCUGUCGUCAAGACUUUCCUAAUGACCCCUGUGAACUGAAGAACAGCUUCACAUGCCGCUACACUCCAACUACUGCAAUGACAGAACAAUUCAGAUUCGGUGUGCAAACAACGUGUGGAUACCGCAAAUCAAAAUUCACUGUGGACACAUCAGAACGUAUGAACCCAGAAAACCCAUCAGGAUCCUCUCCACCAGAGACAGCAGCAGGAUCCAAGGAUACUGUCACCUCUGUGCUUGUGAGUGGUUUCAUCAUCAUCAUCAUCAUCCUCAUCAUCAUGAUGGCGAUCAUUUGCAAAACAAAACCAAACUUCACCAAACUUUGUAGAUGCCAGAACUGGAUGUUUUUGAGUGUCAGACGUGAUGAGGACAACAAUCGUCCAGAAAAUGAGCUAUAAUAGCAUUGAGUUUUGUUCAUUGUGACUUUACAUGUGGUGCUCAGGAAACACACAAGCUUUAUUUGAACUCUACACUAUUCUACAUCUUAUAUCUCAAACUACUAAAUAUAUAACUCUGGCUGUAGGUUUUUAAAACUCUUGUGUCUGUUUUAUAUUGAUUUCUGUGAAAUAACAGCAUAUUAUUGAUCUGUUUGAUCAGUGUAUAUAACUUUAAUGAACUCAAACCUUUGUGAACUUUAAGAGGAAGCACAGCGAAACUCAAACUGUGUCUUUUUGCUGACUUUCAAGGCAUGUCUAUUAUGAAUGUCAUUUUUAUACAGUAUAUUAUAUAGUAGUGUGAACAGUGUGGUUUUGUACAGUAUCUUAUUUUUUUAAAAAGGGACACUGAACGUUUUCACCAAAAGCAAGGCGAAAGAACUGAAAGGCACAAACUACGGACUAAAUGAUCAGUUUCCACGUGAAAUAAACGAACGUCGCAAAAUCCUCUUCCCCAUCAUGAAAAGACAUAGACAGAACAAUGAACGUGCAAAUAUGAUUGUGGACAAACUCUACAUCGAAGGACAACUCUACCGUGACUCCAGCAUCACCCCAUGGCUCUUCUAACUCAGUGUUGUUCAAAGAGUGUAUAUCAUGAUUUAUCAGCUGAGGCUUUUACACCUGGAAUUCCUGUCAACAUGAUACCAAGGGUUUGAGCCCAGCCCAGGCAAACAAUUGGAAAAAGAUGGGUGAGACUGUGACAGACACCCUAAUGCAACAUGGAACACCUCGAUCGAGGCUCAACAGCGGAUGCUUAUAUUGUUUAUGAUGGAAAAUUAUUCAACAGACUGCAUUCAUAUUUUGACACGUGGUAUAACGAAUCAAGGUGCAUUUAGAGCUGAUGCAAUCCAUUAAAAACCUGUUUACCUUUGAUGAAGGAGAGUUUUAAGUGUAUGGAUAAGUGUAUAUCCAAUUCAUUUUUAUUUAUAGGCUAUAUCACUUCUUACGAUACGUGUUGUUCAAAACUAGUUUUACUAAUAAAAAAAAAAAGUUCCUUACAAAGAAGAA